rnacentral:rRNA from 1 species
UACGUAGGGAGCAAGCGUUGUUCGGAUUUACUGGGCGUAAAGGGCGCGUAGGCGGCGCGGUAAGUCACUUGUGAAAUCUCUGAGCUUAACUCAGAACAGCCAAGUGAUACUGCAGUGCUAGAGUGCAGAAGGGGCAAUCGGAAUUCUUGGUGUAGCGGUGAAAUGCGUAGAUAUCAAGAGGAACACCUGAGGUGAAGACGGGUUGCUGGGCUGACACUAACGCUGAGGCGCGAAAGCCAGGGGAGCAAACGGG